GACGAACGCUGGCGGCGUGCCUAAUACAUGCAAGUCGAACGCUUCUUUCCUCCCGAGUGCUUGCACUCAAUUGGAAAGAGGAGUGGCGGACGGGUGAGAAACACGUGGGUAACCUACCCAUCAGAGGGGGAUAACACUUGGAAACAGGUGCUAAUACCGCAUAACAGUUUAUGCCGCAUGGCAUAAGAGUGAAAGGCGCUUUCGGGUGUCGCUGAUGGAUGGACCCGCGGUGCAUUAGCUAGUUGGUGAGGUAACGGCUCACCAAGGCCACGAUGCAUAGCCGACCUGAGAGGGUGAUCGGCCACACUGGGACUGAGACACGGCCCAGACUCCUACGGGAGGCAGCAGUAGGGAAUCUUCGGCAAUGGACGAAAGUCUGACCGAGCAACGCCGCGUGAGUGAAGAAGGUUUUCGGAUCGUAAAACUCUGUUGUUAGAGAAGAACAAGGACGUUAGUAACUGAACGUCCCCUGACGGUAUCUAACCAGAAAGCCACGGCUAACUACGUG
rnacentral:rRNA from 1 species